CCUUAGAUGUUCUGGGCCGCACGCGCGCUACACUGACAGAGCCAUCGAGUAUAAACCUUAACCGAGAGGUUUGGGUAAUCUUGUUAAACUCUGUCGUGCUGGGGAUAGGGCAUUGCAAUUAUUGCCCUUCAACGAGGAAUAUCUAGUAAGCGCAAGUCAUCAGCUUGCGUUGAUUACGUCCCUGCCCUUUGUACACACCGCCCGUCGCUACUACCGAUUGAAUGGCUCAGUGAGGCCUUCGGACUGGCUCCAGGAGGUCGGCAACGACCACCCAGAGCCGGAAAGUUGGUCAAACUUGGUCAUUUAGAGGAAGUAAAAGUCGUAACAAGGUUUCCGUAGGUGAACCUGCGGAAGGAUCAUUACCAAACAAAAAGUGAUUCCGGGUCAGGCCGCGAGGCAUGGCCCGUCAACACUCCAACCCUCUGUGAACCAAAAAACCUUUCGCUUCGGCAGCAGCCCGGUUGGAAGCAACCGCCCGUGUCAGCCUGCCGCUAGCACCAAAAAACAAAACUUGCAGUAAAACAUUGUCUGAUAACCAUAUUUUCGAAUGAAAAUUAAAACUUUCAACAACGGAUCUCUUGGUUCCCGCAUCGAUGAAGAACGCAGCGAAACGCGAUAGUUAAUGUGAAUUGCAGAAUUCAGUGAAUCAUCGAGUCUUUGAACGCACAUUGCGCCCAUUGGUAUUCCAUUGGGCAUGUCUGUUUGAGCGUCAUUACAACCCUCGGUCACAACCGGUUUUGAGUUGGCCCGGGCCUCGCGCCCCGCCCGCUUUAAAGUUGUAAGCUCUGCUGGCCUCCGCGCCCGACCAGAACAUAGUAAAUCUCAUGCCUUGUUCAACGGUUAAGCACGGACGGUUCGGCCUGAACAAAACCUCCAAACUCAAGGUUUGACCUCAGAUCAGACAAGGAUACCCGCUGAACUUAAGCAUAUCAAUAAGCGGAGGAAAAGAAACCAACAGGGAUUGCCUCAGUAACGGCGAGUGAAGCGGCAACAGCUCAAAUUUGAAAUCUGGAGCCUUCGGCUUCCGAGUUGUAAUUUGAAGAGGAUGUUUCGGUUGCGGCUUGGGCCUAAGUUCCUUGGAACAGGACGUCAUGGAGGGUGAGAAUCCCGUAAAUGGCCCCCGGCUUGCUUCCAUGUGAAGCUCCUUCGAAGAGUCGAGUUGUUUGGGAAUGCAGCUCAAAAUGGGUGGUAAAUUUCAUCUAAAGCUAAAUAUUGGCGGGAGACCGAUAGCGCACAAGUAGAGUGAUCGAAAGAUGAAAAGCACUUUGAAAAGAGAGUUAAACAGUACGUGAAAUUGUUGAAAGGGAAGCGCUUGCAAUCAGACUCGCUUUCGGUUGAUCAACGUUCCUUCUGGUUCGUGCACUCUGCCGUUUGCGGGCCAGCAUCAGUUGGGGCGGCGGGACAAAGACGGCGGGAAUGUGGCUCCCCUCGGGGAGUGUUAUAGCCCACCGUGCCAUGCCGCCAGCCCCGAUUGAGGUCCGCGGUUCGCCUAGGAUGCUGGCUUAAUGGUUGUAAGCGAC
rnacentral:rRNA from 1 species